ACGAACGCUGGCGGCGUACUUCACCCAUGCAAGUCGAACGGAAAGGCCCUGCUUUUGUGGGGUGCUCGAGUGGCGAACGGGUGAGUAACACGUGAGUAACCUGCCCUUGACUUUGGGAUAACUUCAGGAAACUGGGGCUAAUACCGGAUAGGAGCUCCUGCUGCAUGGUGGGGGUUGGAAAGUUUCGGCGGUUGGGGAUGGACUCGCGGCUUAUCAGCUUGUUGGUGGGGUAGUGGCUUACCAAGGCUUUGACGGGUAGCCGGCCUGAGAGGGUGACCGGCCACAUUGGGACUGAGAUACGGCCCAGACUCCUACGGGAGGCAGCAGUGGGGAAUAUUGCACAAUGGGCGGAAGCCUGAUGCAGCAACGCCGCGUGCGGGAUGACGGCCUUCGGGUUGUAAACCGCUUUCGCCUGUGACGAAGCGUGAGUGACGGUAAUGGGUAAAGAAGCACCGGCUAACUACGUG
rnacentral:rRNA from 1 species